CGGACGGGUGAGUAACGCGUGAGAAUCUGGCUCUAGGUCUGGGACAACCACUGGAAACGGUGGCUAAUACCGGAUGUGCCGAGAGGUGAAAGGUUAACUGCCUAGAGAUGAGCUCGCGUCUGAUUAGCUAGUUGGAAGUGUAAUGGACUCCCAAGGCGACGAUCAGUAGCUGGUCUGAGAGGACGAUCAGCCACACUGGGACUGAGACACGGCCCAGACUCCUACGGGAGGCAGCAGUGGGGAAUUUUCCGCAAUGGGCGAAAGCCUGACGGAGCAAUACCGCGUGAGGGAGGAAGGCUCUUGGGUCGUAAACCUCUUUUCUCAGGGAAGAACAAAAUGACGGUACCUGAGGAAUAAGCAUCGGCUAACUCCGUGCCAGCAGCCGCGGUAAUACGGAGGAUGCAAGCGUUAUCCGGAAUGAUUGGGCGUAAAGCAUCCGCAGGUGGCUAUGUAAGUCUGCUGUUAAAGAGUCUAGCUCAACUAGAUAAGAGCAGUGGAAACUACAAGGCUAGAGUACGUUCGGGGCAGAGGGAAUUCCUGGUGUAGCGGUGAAAUGCGUAGAGAUCAGGAAGAACACCGGUGGCGAAGGCGCUCUGCUAGGCCGUAACUGACACUGAGGGACGAAAGCUAGGGGAGCGAAUGGGAUUAGAUACCCCAGUAGUC
rnacentral:rRNA from 1 species